GACGUAGGUGGCAAGCGUUAUCCGGAUUUACUGGGCGUAAAGGGUGUGCAGGCGGCUGGCCAAGUGGUGUAUGAAAGGGCCCGGCUCAACCGGGCGAGGGUAUGCCAGACUGGCGAGCUAGAGUGCGGGAGAGGGACGUGGAAUUCCGGGUGUAGUGGUGAAAUGCGUAGAGAUCCGGAGGAACCCCAGAGGCGAAGGCGGCGUCCUGGCCCGACACUGACGCUCAGACACGACAGCAUGGGGAGCGAACGGG
rnacentral:rRNA from 1 species